AUUCUAAAUACAACUUUCAACAACGGAUCUCUUGGCUCUCGCAUCGAUGAAGAACGCAGCGAAAUGCGAUACGUAAUGUGAAUUGCAGAAUUCAGUGAAUCAUCGAAUCUUUGAACGCACAUUGCACUCUCUGGUAUUCCGGAGAGUAUGCUUGUUUGAGUAUCUGU
rnacentral:rRNA from 1 species